rnacentral:rRNA from 1 species
GUCCUAGCCGUAAACGAUGAGCACUAGGUGUUGGGGGUUAAACCCUUAGCGCCGUAAGUUAACACGUUAAGUGCUCCACCUGGGGACUACGACCGCAAGGUUAAAACUCAAAGGAAUUGACGGGGGCCCGCACAAGCGGUGGAACAUGUGGUUCAAUUCGACGCUACGCGAAGAACCUCACCAGGGCUUGACAUGUAGGAAGUAGUGAACCGAAAGGGGAACGACCUGUCAAGUCAGGAGCCUGCACAGGUGUUGCAUGGCUGUCGU